GACGAACGCUGGCGGCGUGCUUAACACAUGCAAGUCGAACGGAAAGGCCCUGCUUUUGUGGGGUGCUCGAGUGGCGAACGGGUGAGUAACACGUGAGUAACCUGCCCUUGACUUUGGGAUAACUUCAGGAAACUGGGGCUAAUACCGGAUAGGAGCUCCUGCUGCAUGGUGGGGGUUGGAAAGUUUCGGCGGUUGGGGAUGGACUCGCGGCGGAUCAGCUUGUGGGUGGGGUAGUGGCUUACCAGGGCUUUGACGGGUAGCCGGCCUGAGAGGGUGACCGGCCACAUUGGGACUGAGAUGCGGCACAGACUCCUACGGGAGGCAGCAGUGGGGAAUAUUGCACAAUGGGCGGAAGCCUGAUGCAGCAACGCCGCGUGCGGGAUGACGGCCUUCGGGUUGUAAACCGCUUUCGCCUGUGACGAAGCGUGAGUGACGGUAAUGGGUAAAGAAGCACCGGCUAACUACGUG
rnacentral:rRNA from 1 species